rnacentral:sRNA from 1 species
GGAACUUGUGCAGAGGUCCAUCAAGGUUGGCUGUCUUGGAUUUAUUCAUGGAUGAAAAGCUGGAUCAUUGGACCAACUAUAACACUACAGCAUUGUCUCCUGGCUUUUUUCUCUGCCGAUGAGCUCAAGGGAGAUAACAUGUACAGUUGUGAGAAAUGUAAAAAGUUACGAAAUGGUUUGAAAUAUUCCAAAGUAUUGAAACUGCCAGAAGUAAGUGGAUUGUAAUUUUAAUGCCAGCACCUGUAUGUUACUC